GAGGAGGAGUGGUGAUGGUUGUCAGGCGUGGGCAUUUGUUGUUGGGCAUAACAUGUUGGGGCGGGGCUAUGUAAAUUAGUGAGGUCAUGAUGCAGCGCUGUAGGUACCGUCCUCAUACCGUUACUACUUAGCUUUAGACAUAGGUUACAUAACAGACGUCAGACAACGUGAUAACUAUUCAUAAAAAGACGUACAAACAUACAGCGACCAAAUGGUACUUAACAAAAAAUGAAUGAUGUCAAAUUAAUGUCUGAAUGCGUGUGUAUGACGUCAACAGGUUUUGACGUCAGAGAUCGGAGAGUAGCGGCCAUGUCGGUGUGAAGCUCGCAACAGACGACGGUCGAAAAACACUUCCGAAUGAAAUCUGAUCAGUGCGACACCUGGCGUCAAUCGGAACCUCUGUGAUCUUUGUGGAGUGACGGCAGACCUGCGCCGUCAAUUGUUGAUGGAGAGUACUGCUUUUAUCUACAACCUUUUCCAAUAUUUCUCAACCUGAGUAGCAGCACUACCAGAACACACAUAAGCUGGAAAAAUAUGUUAUCAAGAGAUGACAAUGCCCGGCAGGGGUCGGUUUUCUCUGACGAGACAAAUGGUCUUUUCUUGGAUCACAUGGCACAUUGCAGGAUGUUGUUGAGGUAAGAAGGGCAUGAUCGGUUGUCGGAUGCAGCUGUGAUGUAGUGCAGCGAUUUACCAUUGAAGCUGGUAAUGGAGCCUGCCCUGGCUUCUGUCUGGCUGUCUAUUCUGUCUAUUCAGUCCUACACAGAGGCGUAUAUUUAGUACCCGCACAUGAAGAUCCGAGUAUUCAGAGUUCCACUCAAGUAGAGACUUGUUUGUGCAGAGUACGUUGAUUCUGACCCCCCCCCCCCACACACACCACCACCACACACAAACACACAAACACACCCGCACAUGCGCACAGGUGGACGCACGU